rnacentral:lncRNA from 12 species
AGGUGAACUCCUUGAUUUACAGCAUUGUCCUAGACAGCAGCCUGGUGCCUGCAGCUUUUGCAGCACCUCCUUGCUGAUGGGAGCCUGAUUGCCCGAGGCAUCCAUCCCCACCCAAGGCUUUCAGGGCUGACCCUGAG